rnacentral:tRNA from 2 species
GUAGCUCAAUCGGAUAGAGCACCGGCCUUCUAAGCCGGGGGUUGCAGGUUCGAUUCCUGCC